GAUGAAGAACGUAGCGAAAUGCGAUAAGUAAUGUGAAUUGCAGAAUUCAGUGAAUCAUCGAAUCUUUGAACGCACAUUGCGCCCGCCAGUAUUCUGGCGGGCAUGCCUGUUCGAGCGUCAUUACAACCCUCAGGCCCCCGGGCCUGGCGUUGGGGAUCGGCGGAGCCCCCCGUGGGCACACGCCGUCCCCCAAAUGCAGUGGCGGUCCCGCCGCAGCUUCCAUCGCGUAGUAGCUAACACCUCGCGACUGGAGAGCGGCGCGUCCACGCCGUAAAACACCCAACUCUUCUGAAGUUGACCUCGAAUCAGGUAGGAAUACCCGCUGAACUUAGGCAUAUCAAUAAGCGGAGGA
rnacentral:misc_RNA from 1 species